AUUAAAAGACGAAGGAUGUAAUGAAAUGUAAGAAAAUAUCACGAGAUAAAAAAUUGUAAUCGAAAAUAUAUUUCCUAAUAAGCAGAUAGAUCGAGAAGAAUCGAUGGUUAGCGUGCCGACAUGUUCGGUUGGUAAGUGACGUUUCUGAGAAGGUUGAGCGAGCAGCCGGGACACGACAAUCGUCGUCUAAAAUCUCUCACGGUGAGCCCUCCCCCCAUCAUUAUUCCCGCAUCACCCACGCCCGCCGUUCUCGGAGGCGCAGAGAGCGCAAGAGGAACGUCGACAGGACACGUCGAGCGUGUAUACAGCGCGAGCGGUGGUUGGGCUUCCACGGGGGAGCUUAAGGGGCCCCGAAAGCUGCGCAAGAAUUAUCAGUCGCGUGUGAUCGGCUGCCCGACCGAGUCGGCCCCCGACAAAGACUCUGGCCAUCCAUAAUUCAAGCAAUCCGGUCAUUGUGUGUCCCCGCGCGGCCUCCCAGGCGCCGAUUGCCUCUUUAGCCGAGCGAAACGGCCCUCUUCGCGCCCCUCGCGACACCUGCGACCGACGCUUCUUCCUCCUUACGUGUUAAUUCCGAUGCCUCUUAUCCCUUCCGACACCCUAUCACGCCACAGCCUCCGCUCUCCUCUUCCACCAGGAAUUCACGCUUCGCAUUCGUGAAAGUUAAUCCUGUUGCGCCCCCACUCGCGUGGGACGACCGAGGUCGAAAUUCUUCUCGCAUCGUAUUUUCCGAACAUCGUCUAUUUCGCGAUUCGUGAAUUUUUAGGGAUACGAGAAUUAAAGGAUCAUUUUUUAAAUUAAAUUCAUAAAUUACGAUAAAUUUUAAAAUAAAUCGGGUAAUAGCUAAUGGAUUCAACGAGAACGCGAAAUAUUUAAAGUCAUUUGAAGAAUGUUUCAAAUCUCAAAAUUGUUAGUUUAAGAACUACUGUCUCGAAUCGUGAAGGCCAAUCGUCGUGCCAUCUAUCGUCAAUUUGUUAUAAUUAAUGUUAUUAGUGAGAUUCGAUGAGUCAUGUAUGGCAAGAUGUCGGCCGUGACGAAUUUUGUUGCGUAAUAAUAGAAUUUUUGCUUAAUUUUUGCUUAAUUGUGAUAAAAGAAGAGAAAAUUUUAUAAAUUUUAUAAAAUCGUUUGAGUGUUUUGUUCGAUGCAACGUUUGUGAAAUUAUGAAAUAGAAGUUUAUAAUCUAAAAUUGUUAAUUCAUCGAUAUUAUUAGUGAAACUAUUAUUGUGCAAGAAGAUAUUUCAACUGUAAUAUAAAACAUUGUAAGAUAGAAAACUACAAAAAAGGCUCGACACUUUGCUGGACAAUUUGAUGACAAUUCUAUAUGGGAGCGAUAAAUAAAUCUACAUAUUUAUAAUUUAAGGAUUUAUAAAUAUAAUGAAAGAUUGAAUAAAAGAAACCUUCCUUUAUCCACUCCACGGAAUUCCAAUUUGUGAUAGAAUCUUACGUUCUUGAUGAAUCUCGGAUACUUUCGGAUACAUAUUGUCCUAUUAGUCUGGGAAAGGGUUAAGGAACUGAACUGUCGAGAAUGUUUUUCGAUACGGCAAGAAACUCGUAGAAGAGAAAUACGCGCAACACCGAGACCGAGUCGGGGUUAACGAUUAUUGCGCGGUAAAUAACCACGAUCCACCUGUGCACGCUUGUAAAACCGACAGAGCGCUCCAUUGUUUUACAUGGAUGAUCGUAAAGCAUAACGAGGCCGCGAAUUUCCGUGCACUCCCGCCAACGAAUGGCUGUCCACGAGCUUAUGCUAUUCGUUGCUGAGAGAUGCGCGGAGAAAAAUAGAAGAGAAUAUGAAGAAAAUAAAAAGAAAAAAGGAAAUAGAAACAAUUGCACAAUGUACCUACAGUUGGUCACUUUCUAUUCGUUUAUCAUUAAUCUUCAGUUUACAACUUUUCAUCGUCCCGUUCCAUUUUUCUUUUCUUUUCUUUCAAAGAUCGAUGUCGAGCCUCUUUUUCUUACUUAAACAAAACAACGUGAUGCGUGUGCGUACGCACGUUUCCCUGGCAAGCCGUGGAGAGAAAGAGCUCAAAGCAAUAUUAUUUAACCGUUAAAGUCAGUCCUCGUUAGGCUGUGGCCGAUAGAGGCGUGGGUCGUGUCGUCGUAUAUUAGUUCGGAAACGCCUCCUGCGGGAUCGAGAGGGGUGAUGGCACACGAGAUUAAUAGCCAACGGGUCAAGUACGCCGGGAGGAGACCUCUACCGAGCGAUGUGCUCACCUUGGAAAGUAAGAUGGAAUCGAGAAACGUGCGUUUCUCUAGCGCGAUAUUUAUUUCUUUACGCGGUGGAAUCCUCUGGUGACCCGUGGUGAAAUAUUAAUUUCACGCCGAAGCAUGGAUAAAUUUCUUCGAGUCUUUUUCUCGCGUGUCACUUCGAUCGUUAUCGAUAGAGAUGGAAGAAGAUUAGAGUUUAGGUUAGGUUGUGCGCGAUAGAAACGUUUUACGAAGAUAUUCGAUUGUUGCAAAGAGUUUACAAAGUCGAUCGACGGCAAUUUUUAACAAAAACGAAUGUAAUAACACGAAUAAGAAAGAUUCGACGACAAAUCGUUUACACGCGUCGGAGACGUCGAUCGGGAGAGUAACGAUGUUUGUUACGAUACUGUUAAAGAGUACCAUCAGAUUUUUCUCCGAUAAGAUCACACGCAGCGCCUUAAUCAGAGUAAUUGUACGAUACUUUAUACAUUACGCUAAGUAAUUGCCGCGUCUGUAUAUGCGCGUUUAUGUAAGACCGCGGAGCGAACAAUGAGGGUCCUCCCUUCCCCCUCCUCCUCUCUCGAUUACGAUCGUCUUGGAAUAGCAUUAUAUACAGCCGCGUCUACGAAUCGCUCGUAAUUAACGCCGUGCUCUGUGAAAAAUCCGAAUAAAUUGAACCGAUAUAUCAUAGCAUUCCAGUAAUCUGAUUAACAACUUUGGCGAUGUUGGAUCGUCAAAUAUAUUGGAUCGUCGGGAUUGAACGUGUAAAAAAACGAAAGAGAUCGAUAAUCAAUACAGUACAAGUGCAAUUCGUUAAAGCGAAAUAAUGAUCGUAAUGGUUAAAUGAUAUUCGCAAGGCACAAUUGUGAUUUGGAUUAUUCGUGUUGGAUUAUCAGAUUAGCGGAUGCUUUAACGUACAUUAAGGUGGAUUUGUGCACAGUGGAGUAUAUUACGACGAAUUAAUUCGAUCGUUGUAGAAUUUAUCGUACUUGGAAAUAAAAAAAGUAACUACGAA